CUCCUCCGGGGCUGUGUGGUUUCCACAGAAGGUCCUGCCUGGGCUAGACUCAGGGGACGCGGGCAGGAGGAUGGUCCCCGCGUCCCGCUACUUUCCUCUUCCAGGGCUCCAGGCCCCAGCUGCCCGUGUUUCUUGUCUCCAAGCUGCACGUGACCCAAACCACCUGCAACAACAGAGGCCAGCACUGGUCCUUCGUCCUCUGUGUGUGACACAAGGUGUCCCUCGCUGUGCACGUGCUAUGGCCAUGCCCUGUGCUGGGCCCCUCAUGCCAUCUGCCUAAGGAGCCCCACAAGGUGGGGGCCAUGCUGGAGUCAAGGCUGAGGGCCUGGAUGUGCUGGGCACCUCUGUGCCCCCUUCUCCGGCCCUGGAGGCUCACCUGUGUACCCUGCGCCCACAGGCUUCCUGUCCUCCAGCGUCUGGUCAGGCCCAGCCAGCAGUGGGGAGCAGGGAGUGGGGAGUCCUGCAAGAGACUGGACGGCAGGAGGAGAGGGGCAGGGACAUCUCUUUCCUGGAUCCCCUCUCUGUAGGGCCACGUGGUGGCCGUUAACCCGUUCCUCUAUCUGGGGCCACAGCUCCCGCCAGGUGGCCCCUCUCCUCCAGCUGCUCGCCCUCCAGUCCACAGCUCCUCUCUCUGCCCCACAGGGCCCAGGCAGUACGAGCUCCCCACGGCUGCCAGCCCCAGGUGCUGCAGCACCCCUCGGAGGACAGCCUGGAUGCUGCGUAUGCCCCAAUGCCAACUGCCCAAGGGCAGGGACUCGGUUUGUAUGCUCCUGCCGUGGCCCCAGCACUCUGACUGGUGUCCAGAGCACAGCCAGUGCUCAGCAAAUACUUGCUGGGUGAAUGGCUGAGAGCAGGAACAAAGGAGCCCGACUGGAAUGAGGAGGGACAGCCCUGAAGAGGAUGGACUUCAAGGAUGUGUGGCACUGACCACAGCACGGCACAACAAUCAGACCAGAAACACGCGUCCAGAAACACACAAAACUUGUCCAUGCGUGUUCACAGCAGCACUAUUCAAACAGCCAAAAGGGGAAACAACCCAAAUGUCCGUCAACGGAUGAACAGAGAAACUAAAUGUGGU